rnacentral:tRNA from 1 species
GCUGGUGUGGCUCAGUGGAUAGAGCGUCAGCCUGCAGACUGAAGUGUCCCAAGUUCAAUUCUGGUCAAGGGCA